rnacentral:rRNA from 1 species
CAGGGGGAUAAACCAGUUGGAAACAACUGCUAAUACCGCAUAAGCGCACACUGUCGCAUGACAGAGUGUGAAAAUUUCCGGAGGUAUACGAUGGACCCGCGUCUGAUUAGCCAGUUGGCAGGGUAACGGCCUACCAAAGCAACGAUCAGUAGCCGGCCUGAGAGGGUGGACGGCCACAUUGGGACUGAGACACGGCCCAAACUCCUGCGGGAGGCAGCAGUGGGGGAUAUUGCACAAUGGGGGAAACCCUGAUGCAGCGACGCCGCGUGAGUGAAGAAGCAUUUCGGUGUGUAAAGCUCUAUCAGCAGGGAAGAAGAAUGACGGUACCUGACUAAGAAGCCCCGGCUAACUACGUGCCAGCAGCCGCGGUAAUACGUAGGGGGCAAGCGUUAUCCGGAUUUACUGGGUGUAAAGGGAGCGUAGACGGCAAUGCAAGCCAGAUGUGAAAACCCGCAGCUCAACUGGGGGAGUGCAUUUGGAACUGUGUAGCUGGAGUGCAGGAGAGGUAAGCGGAAUUCCUGGUGUAGC